CAGCAGCCACGGGAAUACAGAGGGUGCGAGCGUUAAUCGGAUUUACUGGGCGUAAAGCGCGCGUAGGUGGUUCAUUAAGUUGGAUGUGAAAGCCCUGGGCUCAACCUGGGAACUGCAUCCAAAACUGGUGAGCUAGAGUACGGUAGAGGGUAGUGGAAUUUCCUGUGUAGCGGUGAAAUGCGUAGAUAUAGGAAGGAACACCAGUGGCGAAGGCGACUACCUGGACUGAUACUGACACUGAGGUGCGAAAGCGUGGGGAGCAAACAGGAUUAGAGACCCCAGUAGUCCCUGUCUCUUAUAC
rnacentral:rRNA from 1 species